AUGUUGGAAGUUUUUGUACGGUGGCUCAGUGACUUUGUAUCACUGUGGUGGACUUUUGGUGGAGGAACCAGACUGGAUGUCGGAGGUGAAGCCCGUCCCACCUUGAUGGUUCUGCCCCCUUCCAAUGAGGAGCUGCAGCAGGGGAAGGCCACGCUCGUGUGCCUGGCCAACAAGGGCUUCCCCUCGGACUGGAGUCUGGCCUGGAAGGUGGACGGCAUCAGCGGCGGCAGCUGGGAGGAGAGCAGGGGCCCUGCGGUGAUGGAGCAGGACGCUCGUUACAGCUGGAGCAGCACCCUGAGGCUCUCUGCAGACCAGUGGACGAAGGUGGGCUCUGUGACCUGUGAGGCCACCCAGGGCUCCCAGACGCUGGUCUCAGAGACACUGAGGAGGGACCAGUGUUCCCAGGACUGAGCUGUAUCACCUGGACUCUGCUCCUGGUUUCUCCCUGCCGUUGUUUUAUUCCUGAAACUGCCCUCAGUUUGCACGCUAAAUGCCUUCUUUCCCUCUCUAUGAUUUUAUGUUUCAACGUUAACUUUUCUCGCCUUUUGUAUUGACAGUUUUUCUUAACAUGAGCAAAAGAAUAAAAAUGGAAUCAAACAGUA